rnacentral:rRNA from 1 species
GAUGAACGCUGGCGGCGUGCCUAAUACAUGCAAGUCGAGCGAACAGACGAGGAGCUUGCUCCUCUGACGUUAGCGGCGGACGGGUGAGUAACACGUGGAUAACCUACCUAUAAGACUGGGAUAACUUCGGGAAACCGGAGCUAAUACCGGAUAAUAUAUUGAACCGCAUGAUUCAAUAGUGAAAGACGGUUUUGCUGUCACUUAUAGAUGGAUCCGCGCCGCAUUAGCUAGUUGGUAAGGUAACGGCUUACCAAGGCAACGAUGCGUAGCCGACCUGAGAGGGUGAUCGGCCACACUGGAACUGAGACACGGUCCAGACUCCUACGGGAGGCAGCAGUAGGGAAUCUUCCGCAAAGGGCGAAAGCCUGACGGAGCAACGCCGCGUGAGUGAUGAAGGUCUUCGGAUCGUAAAACUCUGUUAUUAGGGAAGAACAAAUGUGUAAGUAACUAUGCACGUCUUGACGGUACCUAAUCAGAAAGCCACGGCUAACUACGUG